CCUUUCUCUCUAACAACUCAAACAUCUCACAAAACAAUCAGACCUUCUCUCUCUCCCUCGGCGCGACUCAAGAAAACUAUGCCUGCCAUAUCUAUCACCAGAUCCGUUUCAUGACCAGAUCUGUGAGCCACCGCCUAUUCCCCUCCGCCUUGUUACGCUACUUCAAUCGCGGCUUCUCCUUCAUUCCAGGGCUUUGCUGAUGUAAGUAACAAUUGAGUCAAUAUCAAUCGGUGAUGAGUGUAGCAGUUGAUUGAAGGGUCGAAACUGAAUCACCUUUCAUGGGAUUUGAAACUCUAUGGAAUUGUUACAAUCAGAAGCAUCAAGCCCAAAGUCCUCAGUGAAAAUUACAUCAAAUUUGUUAAGUCAACAUACUUGGUGUGGUCGCUGACCCUAAUUUGAAACGGUUUCAUGGGUUUUUGUUUGUAAAGGUAUAAAUAUUUAGUAUUGCACCAUUUACCAUGAUUCUGACUAAUUUGGGCUUUGAUUUGAAGCCCUUUAUUUAUGAGUUUGCAUUUUGAUUUUGGAUCUAUUUGCUUGUUUUUCUCGAAUUUGUAAUGACUGAAAGGUAAACCCUAAGUUAGUGAUUUCAAAAGUUUAAGCUUGCUGGUUUAAUUUGAUGGGUUGGUGUUAAGCUUGGCUGAGUUUGAUACUAAUCAAUGAGCAGGUCACAUCUGUCCUAUGAUUAUCACUUCCAUUAUUUUGAUACACUAUUUUUCUAGGUGUUUUGACUGAAGUAACCACCGUUAAUAGCUGCAGAUAUUUUCGGAUCUGAAGUAUGAUAGGCCAAACGAAUUGAUGGAUCGGCAAAUUUCUAAUGAGAUAGAAGCGAUUGCGGCUUUUUAGAAAUGUUGCUCAGCCUGGUUUCAUAUAUGGAUUUAAGGAGAUUUAUGACCAUUUGGCGCUGUUGAUAGUUGAAGAGAUGAAUAUCUUAACGACGGCUUUCUGGAGAUAUGACAAUAUAAUCCGAAUUGGGGUUUGUCUACAAAGCGCAUUAGAAAUUUCUAUAGAAGUCCAGAUAUGUCAGAUGGUGUCGAAUUCUCUGACUUUACAACACCUAUUGAGAAGAUUGGGCUAUUAAAAGACAAGAUGAAAAGUAUUUGGAGUAGAAUCCCCAAUUCUGGCACCUGAAUCACAGUUUUGUCGUGAAGGAGAUCGAAAAUGUGAACAAGAUAAAAAUGGCGAUGUUUUCAAUCAUAUGAUGAAUUUUCAAGAGUUUGGUGAAAAGAACAGGAGGAGAAGUGAACUGGUUUUAGCGCUGAAGAAGUUAUUUGAAGAGCUGAAGAUCAAAUGCAAUCUUCUUCCCAAGACAUUCAUUUGCAUAAACCGGAAACUACAAGCGGGGCCACCAAAUAAUUACACAACCUUAUGUUUAAAGGUCUCCUGAUCCGGUUACCGGGACUAGAAACCGGUCUUUUACGGGAGUUAUUCUAGGCAGAAAACACGCCUGGAUAUGUGGUUUUCUUCAGUAUGUGAGUUUUUAUGGAACUGCGGUUGCUUAUGUUGUAACAACUUUGACUUAUAUGAGGGCGAUUUUGAAAGCCAACUGUUACCAUAAAGAAUGGCGUGAUGGCGAUUGCGAAUACGGUGGCAACACUUGUAUGUUGUUGUUUGGAGUAGUGUAGAUUUUAACGUCACAAAUACUGGAUUUCCAUAGCAUGGUUUUGGUGUCUGUUGUUGCGGCCAUAAUGUCCUUUUGUUACUUCUCUAUUGGUUUGGGGCUCGGUUCUGCUCCUUUAUGUUUCUAUCCCCCACUCCGGUUUUUGGUAGGGGUUUGGCGUUUUGAAAGUGACUUAAAAGUGGAGAAAACGCCAAACACCCUCUAAGAAUUCCGUGUGAUCUGAUCAUUUGAAAACACCGCAGAGAAUGGUAAGAUUGCUGGGAGCAUUAUAGGAUACCCGGCUGUUAGUGUAGCUAAUAAGUUAUGGCUAACUUUUCAAGCACUUGGAGACAUAGCAUUCGCGUAUCCAUAUGAGCUUAUUCUUUUGGAAAUUCAGGAUACUGUGAAGUCACCACCAGCGGAAAACAAGGUUACAAAACACGCUUCAGCAAUAGCGAUUCUUGCGACAAGUUUUUUCUACCUUGGAUGCUGCUGCAUUUGGGAAUGAUACACCGGGAAACCUCUUGACAGGCUUCAGGUUUUAUGAACCUUAUUGGCACGUCGCCUUUGCUAACGCCUGCAUUAUAAUGCAUCUAAUAUGAGUAAACCUUCUAUACUUCACAUAAACAAGUCACUCUUUGACUAUUAAGGACAAAUUGAUGACUUUCAAGUUGAAAUUGAUACAGGUUUAACAAAGAUCUUAUUGAUAAAUAUUUUCUUCAAAAAGUCAAACUGUCUUUUACUAUAUAACUUUCCGGGUCAAAGUUACAACUUUUCAUACUAAAAUUCAAAUGGGUUUUAUCAAACUUUCCUGACCAAAAUUGUCUUUACAUAUUUUUCUAUGUAUUGAGAUUUUGGGUAUUCAUUAAUACUUUUUUGAAAGACUAUAUAAAUUAUAAAUUAUCAAAUAAUGAAUUUCCUACUUUUUUUUUGUUUGACCUUAAAAGUCAAACUGUUUGUUUGUCAAGAAGAAUAUUAUCAAUCAUGUCAAUACCAUGUCUUUUAAGAUUGGAUUCCACAUGGAAUCUAUUUCAUGGCCAUUGCUUUUUAGUUUUAAUUAACAUUUUAUGUGGCUUUAACAAAAGUAAUGGAAUCUUCAUCUUCUUGUUGACCUUAAAAGUCAAAUCAUUUAUAAUGGUAAACAAUGACUAAUGCAAUCCUUUUGGAUUAUAACAAAAGCUAUUCAACCAACCAGUAUUUGCAUUUAAAGCUCCCCAGCAGUCAGUUUUUGAAAAGAUUCCAUGAGAUUCUGGGUGUGUUAGGUGCACUAAAUCUAUGUCCAUUGGCUAUAUAUUUUCCAGUAGAAAUGUAGAUAGUGCAAAGAAAGGCGGAAGCAUGGAGUCGAAAAUGGGUGGUUCUUGAAAUAUUCAGUGGUGUUCUGAUGGUUGUAUCGGCGGUGGCUUUAGUCGGGUCGGUAGCUGGACUCAUAGAAGCAAAGUUGAUGUAGUUAUUAGGAUGGUAACAAUGUAUUAUGCAUGGCUUAUUUGGUCUUAUAUGCCAUUAAGAAAAAUUGUAGUAUUCUAAGAGAAUAACUACAGUUUUUGUCUAGACUAAUUAAGUAAUUAUUAGAUUUACUUGAAUGUAAAAAGGUGUAAACAGGUUGCUCUUCAAUGAAAUGAUUAUGGAAUGAUUGGCUUUAUUAAUCA